UAUUUGGAAGAUUACGUGUCUCAUACAUUACGGAUAAGUAUGUCACAUUUAAUAAGUUUUCGCACGUGGUGCGAGUAGUUAUUGCAUAAGUAAAAUUAUGUAGAAAACAUUGUGUGGCACUCUGAAGCAAUGGAAAUUUUAAAGAUCUUAUGGAGCUUUACCAAUGUUCCGGCUCUACAAUAUUCUAUCAAUUUAGAUUUUGGAGUUUAAAUUUAUGUGUAAAAGAUGCCUAAAGAACCUGCCCCGUAUCGUUGUAAUAUAUGAAACGUUAAUGUAUCUAGUUAUGAUGAUUUUUUACAAGAACGUCUGAAUAUUAGUGGGAAAAUAUGUAAAUAUACAACCUUUGCAGACAAAAUGGGACAUCUGAAAAUUAUUGGAUGAUUUAUCAAUACGAAAAAAACUGAUUAUACAAUGUUCCGGCUCUACAAUAUUCUAUCAAUUUAGACUUUUUACUUACAGAUUUUGGAGUUUAAAUUUAUGUGUAAAAGAUGCCAAAAGAACCUGCACCGUACCGUUGUAAUAUAUGAAGCGUUAAUGUAUCUAAUUAUGAAAAUAUUUUCAAGAACGUCUGAAUAUUAGUGGGAAAAUAUGUAAAUAUACAACCUUUGCAGACAAAAUGGGACAUCUGAAAAUUAUUGGAUGAUUUAUCAAUACGAAAAAAACUGAUUAUACAAAAUUACCAUACAUAAAAAAUGUUUUUAGUAGAAUUCUUAAUACACAUAAAUAUUUUAAUAU